rnacentral:rRNA from 1 species
UACGGAGGUGGCAAGCGUUACUCGGUUUGACUGGGUGUAAAGGGUCCGCAGGCGGCCUAGUGUGUGAAUGGUGAAAUCCUUCGGCUUAACCGAAGAACGGCCAUUCAAACUGCUAGGCUUGAGGGUUGGAGAGGGAAGGGGAACUGUUGGUGUAAAGGUGAAAUUUGUGGAGAUCAACAGGAACGUCCGUGGGGAAGCCGCCUUCCUGGUCAACUCCUGACGCUCAGGGACGAAAGCUAGGGGAG